AUUGAACGCUGGCGGCAGGCCUAACACAUGCAAGUCGAACGAGUGGCGGAGGGGUGAAUAAUGUCUGGAAAACUGCCUGAUGGAGGGGGAUAACUACUGGAACCGGUAGCUAAUACCGCAUACCAUCAGAUGUGCCCAGCUGGGAUUAUCUAGUUGGUGGGGUAAAGGCUCACAAAGGCGACGAUCCCUAGCUGGUCUGAGAGGAUGACCAGCCACACUGGAACGGAGACACGGUCCAGACUCCUACGGGAGGCAGCAGUGGGGAAUAUUGCACAAUGGGCGAAAGCCUGAUGCAGCCAUGCCGCGUGUAUGAAGAAGGCCUUCGGGUUGUAAAGUACUGUCAGCGGGGAGGCGUUACCCGCAGAAGAAGCACCGGCUAACUCCGUGCCAGCAGCCGCGGUAAUUC
rnacentral:rRNA from 1 species